CCAGCUAUAGUAAUUAGAUACAAAUGUAUCAAACCAAAUAUUAUAUUUCUACCGACGGUCCCUAAAGCAAGUGGCAAAGGGUUUGAUGGUUGGUACCCGAGAUCCAAAUUCGAAUUCUAGUUGAUUCACAUUUCCAGCUAAGUUUAUUUCUAAAUGAAAUAAACGAAGCAGGUAGCGUGCUAUCUAUCUCUCAAAUAUAUAUAUAUAUAUAUAUAUAUAUAUAUAUAU
rnacentral:lncRNA from 1 species